CAAACUCCUUCAGACUUCUCAGUACUCAAGACAUCUCAAGUUUUUGAAGAGUAAAGUAUAAAAUACUGGCAGGGGUGGGUAGGGGGAACAGGAUAAAUUGGUGAUGGCCCAGAAAAAAUAUCCAGGGGGAUCGCAUUUUUCUUCUCCAAAGCAAAACAGAAUUCAUAACUGAAAGAGGAAUAGAGAAAGAGGAAAAAAGUGAUCUGGGACCUGUUGUUUUUCUUGCAUCCCAUUUCUACUCUGCCUGUGAGUGAAGACUGUUGUGGAAAAGUCAACUGGAGAGACCAGGUCAAAGGCCAAGCAGAAGAGGAAUUAGGCUUAAGACUGCACUGAGAGGGAACACUAGACCAUGGUGAGAUGGAGUCUCGACACGUUGCCCAAGCUGUUCUCAAACUCCAGGGCUUGAACAAUCUUCCCACCUUGGCCUCCCAAGGCACUGGAAUUACAGAGACAGUGCUCUGCAGGGAGUCUACCACUGUGAUGGUUAAUACUGAGUGUCAACUUGAUUGGAUUGAAGGAUGCAAAGUAUUGUUCCUGGGUGUGUCUGUGAGGGUGUUGCCAAAGGAGAUUAACAUUUGAGUCAGUGGGCUGGGAAAGGUAGACCCAGCCGUAAUCUAGGUGGGCACCAUCUAAUCAGCUGCCAGCACAGCUAGAAGAUAAAGUAGGCAGAAAAACAUGAAAACAUUAGACUGGCCUAGCCUCUGAGCCUACAUCUUUCUCCCAUGCUGGAUGCUCCCUGCCCUUGAACAUCAGACUCCAAGUUUUUCAGUUUUGGGACUGGGACUCACUAUCCUUGCUCCUCAGCUUGCAGACAGCCUAUUGUGGGACCUUAUGAUCAUGUGAGUUAAUACUUAAUACAUAAAUAUAUAUAUAUACACACACACAUAUACACACACACACACACAUAUAUAUAUACACACACACACACAUAUAUAUAUAUAUCUGUCCCUCUAGAGAACCCUGACUAAUACAACUACUAAUAAAAAUUGGGGCAAAAGACAUUGAUUGGGUAUUGUAAGUAGGUUAUGCUCACAGUAGCAAUAUCUCUUAAGACUUUUUAAAAGACUUCCUAAUAAAAGAGAUUUAAAAUACAGCAAAUAACAAGUUUGUGCAUUUUCAAUUUCAUUAUCAGCACCACCUUCAUUAUCCAAAGUUAUUACUAAAGCUUAUGACACAUACAGCAUGAGCAGCAGACAGAAAAUUUUGAAGUCAGUGCCUCUGUGGUUCACAGGUGCAGAGGCAGACAUCACAGCUGUCAAGCAGUUAUUUACAAGAGAGACACUUCUCCAGUAGUAAUUGACAACCUUCUUUAAGGGAAAAGAGGCUGCAAAACUGUGGAAUAUUAGAACAUGAAGCCAAAGAGGAAAACUGACUUGCCUAAGGCCACUCAACAAAUUAUUCAGCCAGAAUGGGAACUCAUACUUGACUUCAACUUCUUAUUCCUCGUGUUCUUACUCCUACAAGUUUUCCACUACUCAGGGGCUCUUUAGGGUAAAUUAACCAUGAAAACACACACAUGCACACACACAUACAAACUAAAUUCCAUUCAUAUUAAGAUAUGCUUCCUUUUUUCUCUCCCCUAUCCAUGGUAGUAAUAACAAGAAGUAAAAGCUUUUUCAUUAUAAAGUAAACUUCCAUUUUUCUUUCUUGAUACGUUUUCAGGUUUUCCUCUAAAAGUAAUUAAAAGUACUACUCAAGUUGUUCCUAGUUGUCUAGAAUGGCUUAUGCUGCCAUUAGCUUCUACAGCUCUGUCAUUAGAGAAAUGGACUGUACUUCUUCUUCACCUUUCACAUGCGGCCAAAAUUGGGUUACUUUAAAAGGCCAGAUGUCAAAAGCAGAUAAAUCCUUUGUACUGUAAUGAGCAUAAUGAUGAAUAAUGGCACUUAUGUUCAAUAAACGAUGCCCUGCCCAUAAACAGCCUUUCCUCUCAGAUAUUCUAUUUAAUUCAAUGAUAUAUUCCAGGUAAUUUGUGGAACUGAAUGAGAAAUUACCUUAAACAAGAAGACUUUGGAAUUUACUAAAAUAUACUUGUUGAAAAUAAUUAAUGGAAGCAGAGUUUGCAUUAGUAAAAUUAUGGCAUUAAAAUCCGUCAUUGCAUGAAUUCAUCUUCCAAGUGGCCUGCCUUGGAGCAGGUGUACAGAUGAGGGCAUUGUGGCAUGAACAAUGUUGGUAGUAAAAGGCAUGCUAUUGAUAUCAAUGUGCCAUGGUAUGUGGUGCUCUUUGUGUGUUUUAAGAACAGAGACAAUCCAUAUAGUGUUGAUCAUCUCCCACUUAAACUACUGUAAAACCCAACUGAUCUUGCUACCUAUAUUCCAUGGAACUAUCCUAGUAAUCUUUGGAAAACAUAAAUCACAUCACGCCACUAACCCCCACUCAAACUACUAAUGGUUUCCCACCAUAGUUGAAGUAAAAAUCCAAAAUGCUUUCCAUGCUCUAUAAGACUGUAAAAAGACCUAUCUCUAGCCUGCCUCUCUGACAUUAUCGUCUACUAUUCUUUCCCCCUUGCUACUCCACACUAGUUACACUUGCAGUAUUGAUAGUUCUUAAAUAUUCAAAGAUAUUCCUUCCCCCAGGGACCUUGCGGUUUUUUUCUCCACUAUAUCUCAUUUUUGCAUGAAUCACUUCCUCAUCACAUUCAAGAAUCUGCUUAUAUAUCAUCUACAACUUCUAUUCCCAGCAACACAGCAAACUACAUACCUUGAAAAAAAAACUUUCCCAGUGGAGAACAGCUAAAAUUGCUUUAAAAAUGCAUUUUUAGAUACUUUAAUUGUUUAAUUGAGAAGUUUUUUAAAAAAUCGUAGAAACCAAAAAGUUAAAGCAAAAACAUUAAUCUCAAAAGGUAAGAGAAUACUGAAAACGAUGCCUGUCCUGGGACAAUGGCUGAUCGCUGAUAGUCCAGAGCUGCACUGUUCGAUACAGUAGCCACUUGCCACCUGCGACUAUUUAAAUUUUUUAAAAAAUUAUAAAUUUAAUUUCUCAAUUACAUAAGCCACACUUCAAGUGUUCAAUAAUCACAGUGGCUGAUGGAUACCAUGUUGGACAACACAAAUACAGAACGUUUCCAUCAUAUAGAAAGUUGAAUUGGAUGCUCUGAUCUCAAUUUUUAAACAAAACCUAGAGCCCAUUGAAAGAGAAAGUUAGAUUGGAGACCUCCUCCUAUUUCAGGUACACAGAUCCCCCUAAAGAAAAAAACACUACACCUACAAGGAACAUCCGAGCUAGAAAGAAAAUCUUUCCUCCCAAAGUAAAACAGGAAAAACAAUGCAUGUCUAAGACUUGACCCCAAAUUGAAGAAAAAAAUGUUCUUCUAGAAUACAUAACAAUCUGUUCUUCACAUAUGUUUGGAGCCAGAAUUUUCUCUACCUCUAUGAUCCAAUUAAUUUGAAGCUGAGAAAUUUCUUUAAACUAAUGCUGGAAUGGGAGUGUCACCAUGUUCCCAACAGAAGUAAAUGUAAACCAUCUAUUAAGGAACCUACCCUAAAUCCCAGGCUUCAACAAAAUCCCUGCAAAAUGUAUAAAAAUAUAUAUGCUCACAAAAAUAAAAUACGAAAGUAAAUAAGAUACUAAGAGUGAGCAGAAACCACUGAAAGAAGAGUAAAACUCUCAAAUACUGUAGAUAUUAGAAUUAUUGUAUAUAGAAUAUAAUGGUUAUGUAAUAAAUACCCUUAAAAUAAGAGUGUCAAUACUACAUUUAAUAAAUGAUUUACUACAUACAGCCAUUAUGGAAAACAAUACAGAGCUUCCUCAAAAAACUAAAAACAGAACUGCCAUAUGACCCAGCAAUCCCACUGCUGGGCAUAUAUCCAAAAGAAAGGAAAUCAGUAUGUCAGUGAGAUAUCUGUACUACCAUGGUUAUUGUAGCACUAUUCGCAAUAGCCAAAAUAUGGAAUCAACCUGAGUGUCCACCAAUAGAUGAGUAGAUUUUUUUAAUGUGGUAUAUAUAACAAUGAAGUAGUAUUCAGCCAUAAAAAAGAAUGAAAUUCUGUCAUUUGCAGCAACAUGGAUGGAAUGGGAGGUCAUUAUGUUAGUGAAAUGAGCCAGUCACAGAAAGACAAACAUCACAUGUUCUCACUUACAUGUGGAAGCUAAAAAACUGAAUCUCAUGGAGGUAGAGAACAGAAUGAUGAUUACAAGAGGCUGGGAAAGGAAGUGGGGAAGGGGAAUGAAGAUGAGUUGGUUAAAGGGUACAACAAUAUUGUUAGAAGGAAUAAGUUCUAUUAUUUGAUGGUAUAGUAUGGAAAUUAUAGUUAACAAUAAUUUAUUAUAUAUUUCAAAAUAGCUAAAAAAGAAGAAUUAUAAUGUUCCCAACACAAAAAAAAAUGUUCGAGGUGAUGGAUAUCCCAAUUACUCUGAUUUGACUACAUAUUGUACGCAUCUGUCAAAUUAUCACAUGUAUCCCAAAAAACAUGUACAAUUAUGAUAUAUCAAUAAAAAUACAAAUAAGACACUACAAAAAUGAUUAGGUUUUUUUAAAAAGUCUAGAAAUUUAAAAUAUAGUAAAUAAUAUUUUUGAACAGAUUUGAAAUGAUUGAACAGAAAGUUAAUAAUUGGAAAAUAACUCUGAAGAAAUUACACAGAUUAUAGCCUAAGAUAACAAAGUGAUUGAUAGGGGGCUAUAGUAAUAAAUAUAAUUGAAGUUUGGAAAUAAGGUAAUAGAAAUAGACAAUAUUUGAAGGGUAAAUGGCUAAGGAUUUUCCCAAAUUAUGAAAGUCAUAAAUUCCCAGGUUCCAGAAGCCAAACAAAUGCUAGAAGGGUAAAUAAAAAGAAACACACAUGUAGAGAUAUUGUAAUGAACCUGCAGAAUACCAAAGAUAAAACUAUUUUUAAAGUAGACAGUAAAAAGGCAAACCAGCAACAAAGUAAUAUCAAUUAGACUGAUGCCUGACUUCUCAAAAGCAGCAGUGAGGCUAGAAGUAAAUAGAAUAACAACUUCAAGAUUAGACAGUUAUGACCUAGAAUUAUAUACCAAGUGAAAAUGUUGUUUCAAGAAUUAAGGCUGUGUCAAUCAAACUUUAUCUUAGAUCAGGGUCUCUAGAAAUACAGCUUGAAACAGGAAUCUCUAUACAGGUGAUUAACUGACAGACUUCUCUCCUGAGUAAAUUAUAAUGAUGUAAGGGGAACAGGAUAAGGCAGGGGAAGAAACUCAAGAUGUGGUUUCAGCUAUAGUCUAGCCCCAGCCUGACCUCAAGGGAGUUCUGGAGUAUGAUUAUCACCACGUGGUUGUCCCACCUUGAGGCAAAAGGCUUAGGUGUCUUUCAAAGACCCAGGUGUUGUUUAUUAAUUCCUCACAUCAAGUAUCUUCUCCAUCAAGACUUUAACUGGUGUUUUAGAGCCAUGUUAAGACAAAUAACUUAGGCAUUACUUAUAAGCUUUACUAUUUUCAUUGUUCAUUUAAAUUUUUUAUAUAUCAUGGCCUUAAUAUGUAGUCUUUUAAAGUUAUGUUAUAUUUACACUCAAGGCACAUGAUAUUAAUAUAUUCACCACUGAGAUUGUCUGUGCUAAUAUUUUGCUACAUUCCCUUUAGAUUGUCAUUAUUUUCAAAGAAACAACACAUUACAAAUACAGUUACAGUCCCACCUUCCAUCUCUUCCUCAUUCCUGUCUACUCAGAAGUAACCCUUUUUCUGAAAUAAGUAUUAUCAUACUCAUAUAUGUUUAUUUCUUUCCUUUGGAUAAACUUCCUAAAUGUUUGAUACUCUAUAUUCAACUUUUUUUUUUUUUAGCCACAACAUUAUAUCUCUGAGACUUGCUAUGUUGAUACAUUCAAAUCCAAUUCAUUCAUUUUCAUUUUAGGCAUUCUGCUGGACCAACAAACAACAGUGUAUUUUUUCAUCCCCCUGCUGUUUGACAAUAAGAUUUUCUUAGCCUUGUAACAAUUAACAACUCAAAAAUAUACAUCUUUGUAUAUGUCUCCUUGAACAAGAGUUUCUCCCUGAGAAGCUCCCAGAAGAAGAACUGUUGGGCUAUGGAGAAUAUGCAUUGUCAACCUUACUUGGUAGUUCCAACAUAGCUUUCCAAAGUGUUUAUACUUAUUUUCCGUCCCUGCAACCACGCCUUGGAGUUCUUGUUUUGUUUGCAUUAUCACCAACAGUGAAUAUUAUCAAACUUAAUAAAUUUGUAAAUAUAAAAUGUUUUGUCCUUGUUUUAAUUUACAUUUCCUAAGUACUAAAGAAGUUGGACAUCUUUACAUAUAUUUAUUGGCCAUUGUAUUAGUUCAUUUUCACACUGCUAAUAAAGACACACCUGAGCCUGAGUAAUUUAUAAAGAAAAAGAAAUUUAAUGGACUCAUAGUUCCACAUGGCUGGGGAGGUCUCACAAUCAUGGCAGAAGGUGAAUGAGGAGAAAGACAUGUCUUACAUGGCAGCAGACAAGAGAGAGCAUGUGAGGGGAACUGCUGUUUAUAAAAUCAUCAGAUUUCAUGAGACUUAUUCACUAUCAAGGGAACAGCAUGGGAAAAACCCGCCCCAUGAUUCAAUUACCUCCCACAGGCUCCCUCCCAUGACACAUGGGGAUUAUUAGAAUUCAAGGUGAGAUUUGGGUGGGGACACAAAGCCAAACCAUAUCAGCCAUCUAUCUUCCUCUGUCAGUUUACCAUUAUAUAUUUUAACAAUAUUUAUAUCUGAUAUUAUUGAUUUCUAAGAGCAUUUUAUAUAUUCUGCGUAUUAAUAUUUCAUUGGUAAUAUGAGUUGCAAGUGUCUUUUCUCAGUCUAUGACUUUUAUUUUCAUCUCUGUCCCCUUUUAUACAGAAGUUUUAUGUUUCAGUGUAUCAGAAUGUAUUAAUUUUUCCUUUCGUGCUUUCUCUAAGAAUUAUAUCUUAGGAGUAAGUUCAAGAGAGCUAUUGUACAAUAUGGUUGUAUAGUUAAUAACAUUUUGAAAAUCACUGACUAGAUUGUUUUUACCACAAAAAAUGAUAAGUACAUGAUGUAAUGUAUGUGUUAAUUAGCUCAAAUGAGCCAUUCCACAAUGUAUACGUAUUUCAAAACAAUGUUGUACACAAUAAGUAUAUAAAUAUAUGCAAUUUCUAUUGGUCAAUUAAAAAUAUAUUUUACUAAAGGCAUAAAAAUAUUCUCCCAUUUUUUGGUUGAAAGUUUUAGAGCUUUGCUGAUCACAUUUAGGUCUUUAAGCUAUCUGGAAUGUAUUUUUGUGAAUGAUGUGAUAUAGCAAUCUCAUUUUAUCUUGUACUAUAUAAUGGCCAAGUUCCUCAGCAUCAUUUAUUGAUGAUUUUAUCCCCUUUCUCAUAUAAAAAACUCCCAAG
rnacentral:lncRNA from 10 species